AGAACGAACGCUGGCGGCAGGCCUCAAACAUGCAAGUCUAGGGGGUGUAGCAAUACAUCACCGGCGGACGGGUGCGUAACGCGUGGGAAUAUACCUAUUGGUUCGGAACAACUGAGGGAAACUUCAGCUAAUACCGGAUGAGCCCGAAAGGGGAAAGAUUUCUCGCCAAUGGAUUAGCCCGCGUCCGAUUAGCUAGUUGGUGGGGUUAUGGCCUACCAAGGCGACGAUCGGUAGCUGUUCUGAGAGGAAGAUCAGCCACACUGGGACUGAGACACGGCCCAGACUCCUACGGGAGGCAGCAGUUGGGAAUCUUGGACAAUGGGGGAAACCCUGAUCCAGCCAUGCCGCGUGAGUGAUGAAGGCCUUCGGGUUGUAAAACUCUUUCGACGGGGACGAUAAUGACGGUACCCGUAGAGAAGCUCCGGCUAACUUCGUGCCAGCAGCCGC
rnacentral:rRNA from 1 species